GGCAUAUCACUCACAAACCGACGGCCAGACAGAAGUUGUAAAUAGGUGCUUGGAGAUAGCCCAAAGCCACCCACCAAAUAUGACUACCCAAGGAGGACUUCAGACUCAGCCAAGUGCCAUUAUUGAUCGACGGAUUAUGACUCGACGACGACGAUCUACUACUGAAUUGCUAAUACAGUGGGCAAACCUAAUAACAGAAGAUGCCACUUUGGAGAACUAUGAUGACUUGAAGAUCAAAUUCCCAAAAUUCAUGAAUCGUCAGCCUCGAGGACAAGGCUGAUUUGAAG
rnacentral:lncRNA from 1 species